UUGAUGGCCUUGUCGAUUUCAUCAAUAGCUUUUCCAAAGUUAGUCGAAGCUGAAUUAUAGUUCUUAGCAAAAGCUAGCUUAAAGGCAUCCAAAUCUUCCUCAAAAUGCGUAAUGUCAAUAUUUUGCUCGCGAACCAAGGCCAACUCCUGCUUGUAUUUUAGGGAAUUUAGCGCCGCAUUACGUAAGAGACCAAUCAAUUGGAUAAAGAAUUGAGGACGAACAACAUACAUUUUUUCAUACUCGUGACUGACGUCAACAAUCCCUGUGUUAAAGUAGUCAUUAUCAGCCUCAAGCAUGGUCACCAAAACGGCAUACUCACAGUUCUUCUCCCGACGGUCCUUGUCCAAUUCCUUGUAAAAAUCUGCAUUCUUGUGCUUCUUCUCUGUUCCGUCCGCUUCGUUUUUCAUCUCAAACAUGAUAGAAAUGAUUUCAACUCCAUUUUCAUCACACUCACGGAAGAUAAAGUCCCCUUUAGACCCACGCGAAGAGACCUUGUUAUCCUUCUCAAAGUAAGCAUUUGGAAAGGCGAAACUACGAACCUUGUUAAACUCACUCUCUGCAUACUGUUCUAGGCUUUCCCCAAUCGCUUUUGUAGAUUGUUGAGCCUUAAAAUUCUUAUAAAACUCGACUUGUUCACUGGCUGCUUUGAGCUGGGCUUCGUAGUUUUGCUUAACAGAAGCCAAAGACAACUCAUUUUCCUUUUCUUGCAGUAGGAGCUGAUUUUUGACCUGAUUGCGUUCUUUUUCUAGGUCAGAAAGGGUCUUUUGCAGUUGAUUUUCAUGCUCCAAACGCAAGGUCGCCAACUGGUUUUCCAAGGCCUGUACUUCCUUGUCCUUAGCCAAUAAGGCCUGAUGGCUUGUCUGUUCAACUUCUUUCUUGGCCAAUUCUUUUUCUGUAUCAAAGUUUUGGAUUUGACUCUGCAAUUGCGCAAUUUCUUGAUCCUUCUGAGCCAGUUUAGUCUGUUGCUCAUUCAUAGCCUUUUGCUCAGCCAAGGCCAGUUCCUGCCUCAUCCUAUCGUGUAGUUCCUUAUCAAACUCUGCCGUUCUCACUUGGGACAAAAGUUCAGCAUACUGGCUUUCAUUUACUGUAAAGACUUCCCCACAGUUGGGACAUUUGAUUUCGUUCAUUACAUUCCUCUUUCUAGACUUCUGUAACCAUUAUAUCAUGCCUGAGGGAAAAUCAAAAACAGUGAGUCAAAACCCACUGUUUAUCUUCUUUUACUUUAAAUUUUUUCCAAGGCCAAGCGUAAGUCUUCAAUCAAAUCUUCUACAUUUUCAAGACCGAUUGACAGACGAAUUUGGUUUGGUGUGACACCUGCUGCUUCUAGGUCUUUUUCUGACAAUUGACCGUGAGUGGUUGUUGCUGGAUGGACAACAAGCGAUUUAGCAUCUGCCGCGUUUGCAAGGUCAGAAAAGAUUUCUAAAUUAUCAAUGACCUUGCGUGCUUCUUCCUCGUCACCUUUGACGUGGAAGGUAAAGAUUGAACCGACACCUUUUGGCAAGUAUUUCUCAACCAAGGCAUGAUAAGGACUAUCUGCAAGUUUUGGAUAAUUUACCUUUUCUACCUUAGGAUGGUUGACAAGAAAAUCAACAAUUGUCUCAGCAUUUUGUACAUGGCGUUCCACACGAAGUGAAAGAGUUUCAAGUCUUUGUAGCAAGAGGAAAGCAUUGAAUGGUGACAAGGCUGCACCUGUAUCACGAAGCAAUUGAACUCGAACAGCUAUAAUAAAGGUUGCUGCACCCACAUCACGAAUAUAGCUCAAAUUGUGGCAGCUUGAACCCUCGUCAACAAAUUGAGGGAAUUUCCCUGAAGCCGUCCAGUCAAAACGACCACUAUCGACAAUUAUUCCUCCAAUAGUUGUACCAUGCCCACCGAUAAACUUAGUCGCAGAGUGAAUGGCAAUGUCAACGCCAUGAGAGAAGACGUUAAUCAAAUAAGGUGUUGCAAAAGUAUUGUCUGACACAAGUGGGAUUUGAUGUUUAUGAGCAAUCUCUGCCAGUUUUUCCAGGUCUGGAAUAUUAAUCAAGGAGUUACCCAAGGUUUCAAUCAAGACAAGCUUGGUAUUGUCUUUGAUAGCUGCUUCUACUUCCUCCAAAUUAUCAAUAUCGACAAAGGUUGUUGUGAUACCAUAACGAGGAAGGGGUUCUUUCAAAAGAUUGAAGGUUCCACCGUAAAUAGUCGAAGCAGCCACUACAUGGUCACCAGCAUGGGCAAGCGCCAAAAUCGUAUAAGUCACUGCAGUCAUACCUGAUGCUGUUGCUAGCGCUUCAACACCACCUUCAAGGGCAGCUGUUGUAGGAUUGGUGAUACGAGUAUAAAUGUUCCCUGGUUUCCUCAAGGCAAACAGAUCAGCACCUUCCUACGUGUCAUCAAAAACAAAAGAUGUUGUUUGAUAAAUCGGCACUGCACGAGACUCAGUAGCUGGAGUCACAACUUGACCAGCAUGUAGUUGUAGAGUUUCAAAUUUAAAAUCACGAGUCAUAAGGUGACCUCCAUAUUAUUUUAUUAAGGAUAUUGUAGCACCUUGAGUUAUAGUUUACAAAUAUCAGUUUUCUAUAUUUUGAUAUAAGAAAUAGCUAUUACCUUAUUUUGAAAAUGAAAAAAGCACGACUCAAUCGUGCUCAUUUUCUUAAUCUACAUAAGUAUCUUCGUUUUUAUUGAGGAAGGCAUAUGGAAGACCCAUCAAGAGGCCUCCUCCGAUAAAGUUUCCGAUGAAAGUCACACCCCAGUGGCGAAGCAUAUUUCCAACACCGAAGUUGGCAAUUGAAUCCGCAGCAACACUGAAUUUCACAAUCGCGAAAGAAACAAAGUUCGCCGCAAUGUGCUCGUUUGUUAAGAAUACAAACAUGUAAAUAGCUGACAACACAAGCCAAAGUUUGGCACCACCAUCUUUGACCAAAAUAAAUGACAGAAUCGCAAUAUUUACGAAAAUAUUUGCCAAAAUCGCCUCAAGCAAGACCAAUUCAUUUGAGCGGCCUAACUUCAUCCCAACAACACCUGAGAUGAAACUAUCGUGUGUCAGAUUCGCAUAGGCUGCCGAAUGAGCAAAGCCCCACCCUGCUAUCAAGGCUCCGAUAAGGUUGAACAAGGUACAGUAUAGUAAAAUCUCAGCUGUUUUUCUCCAAGAGAUUUUUUUUAAGAAACUACCAGCAGUCAAGAACAUCAUGUUUGAAGUGACCAACUCGGCAUUCAAAAAAACAAUGUAGGCCAAGCCCCAAGCAAAAACGAAUGGAAAGAGGAAGCGUCCACUACCUGGUGCAAUUUUAUUAAUCAAGUCAGCCCCAACUGCACCUGCAGCAGUACUGAAGGUUAAAAAUGCACCUGCGAACAUCGAACGAAUCGCAUACUUAAAUUUGCUUUGACUAUAAAGACUUUCUUUCUUAUUGCAAGCAAAUUCAAUCUUUGAGAUAAAUUCUGAAGAAACCAUAAUAAACUCCUAAAUCUUUUUUCUUGAUAAUUAUAUCACAAACUUUAGGUUUUAGGAAGCGUUUUCUAUAUUUCAUAAAAGUUUAUAGUAGAUUGAAACUAGAAUAGUACACCUCUACUUCUAAAACAUUGUUAGAAAUCGAUUUGACUGUCCUGAUCGAUUUGUCCUGUUCUUNAUGAAGGUAUACCGUGAGGAGUGCUGGAACGCAUAGAAGUGAGAAUGCCGGUAUGAGUAGCGAAAGACAGGUGAGAAUCCUGUCCACCGUAAGACUAAGGUUUCCAGGGGAAGGCUCGUCCGCCCUGGGUUAGUCGGGACCUAAGGAGAGACCGAAAGGUGUAUCCGAUGGACAACAGGUUGAUAUUCCUGUACUAGAGUAUGUAGUGAUGGAGGGACGCAGUAGGCUAACUAAAGCAGACGAUUGGAAGAGUCUGUCUAAGCAGUGAGGUGUGAAUUGAGUCAAAUGCUUAAUUCUAUAACAUUGAGCUGUGAUGGGGAGCGAAGUUUAGUAGCGAAGUUAGUGACGUCACACUGCCAAGAAAAGCUUCUAGCGUUUAAACAUACUCUACCCGUACCGCAAACCGACACAGGUAGUCGAGGCGAGUAGCCUCAGGUGAGCGAGAGAACUCUCGUUAAGGAACUCGGCAAAAUGACCCCGUAACUUCGGGAGAAGGGGUGCUGACUUAAAGUCAGCCGCAGUGAAUAGGCCCAAGCAACUGUUUAUCAAAAACACAGCUCUCUGCUAAAUCGUAAGAUGAUGUAUAGGGGGUGACGCCUGCCCGGUGCUGGAAGGUUAAGAGGAGUGCUUAGCGUAAGCGAAGGUAUGAAUUGAAGCCCCAGUAAACGGCGGCCGUAACUAUAACGGUCCUAAGGUAGCGAAAUUCCUUGUCGGGUAAGUUCCGACCCGCACGAAAGGCGUAAUGAUUUGGGCACUGUCUCAACGAGAGACUCGGUGAAAUUUUAGUACCUGUGAAGAUGCAGGUUACCCGCGACAGGACGGAAAGACCCCAUGGAGCUUUACUGCAGUUUGAUAUUGAGUGUCUGUACCACAUGUACAGGAUAGGUAGGAGUCUACGAGAUCGGGACGCCAGUUUCGAAGGAGACGCUGUUGGGAUACUACCCUUGUGUUAUGGCCACUCUAACCCAGAUAGGUGAUCCCUAUCGGAGACAGUGUCUGACGGGCAGUUUGACUGGGGCGGUCGCCUCCUAAAAGGUAACGGAGGCGCCCAAAGGUUCCCUCAGAAUGGUUGGAAAUCAUUCGCAGAGUGUAAAGGUAUAAGGGAGCUUGACUGCGAGAGCUACAACUCGAGCAGGGACGAAAGUCGGGCUUAGUGAUCCGGUGGUUCCGUAUGGAAGGGCCAUCGCUCAACGGAUAAAAGCUACCCUGGGGAUAACAGGCUUAUCUCCCCCAAGAGUUCACAUCGACGGGGAGGUUUGGCACCUCGAUGUCGGCUCGUCGCAUCCUGGGGCUGUAGUCGGUCCCAAGGGUUGGGCUGUUCGCCCAUUAAAGCGGCACGCGAGCUGGGUUCAGAACGUCGUGAGACAGUUCGGUCCCUAUCCGUCGCGGGCGUAGGAAAUUUGAGAGGAUCUGCUCCUAGUACGAGAGGACCAGAGUGGACUUACCGCUGGUGUACCAGUUGUCUUGCCAAAGGCAUCGCUGGGUAGCUAUGUAGGGAAGGGAUAAACGCUGAAAGCAUCUAAGUGUGAAACCCACCUCAAGAUGAGAUUUCCCAUGAUUAUAUAUCAGUAAGAGCCCUGAGAGAUGAUCAGGUAGAUAGGUUAGAAGUGGAAGUGUGGCGACACAUGUAGCGGACUAAUACUAAUAGCUCGAGGACUUAUCCAA
rnacentral:rRNA from 1 species